GACGAGGGGUGCUAACGUUAUUCGGAAUCACUGGGUGUAAAGGGUGCGUAGACGGCUUAUCAAGCUCGCUGUUAAAUCCUCCGGCCUAACCGGAGAUCAGCGGUGGGAACUGAUAGGAUAGAGUAUGGAAGAGAGAAGUGGAAUUCCCGGAGUAGCGGUGGAAUGCGUAGAUCUCGGGAGGAACACCAAUUGCGUAGGCAGCUUCUUGGUCCAUUACUGACGUUGAGGCACGAAAGCGUGGGGAGCAAACAGG
rnacentral:rRNA from 1 species